rnacentral:rRNA from 1 species
UACGUAGGGUGCGAGCGUUGUCCGGAAUUAUUGGGCGUAAAGAGCUUGUAGGCGGUUUGUCGCGUCUGCCGUGAAAAUCCGAGGCUCAACCUCGGACUUGCGGUGGGUACGGGCAGACUAGAGUGUGGUAGGGGAGACUGGAAUUCCUGGUGUAGCGGUGAAAUGCGCAGAUAUCAGGAAGAACACCCGUGGCGAAGGCGGCUCUCUGGGACGGUACUGACGCUGAGACGCCGAAAGCGUGGGGAGCGAACGG